AGUUAGCCCAGGGAGGAAGGGGACAGAAUGACAGCAUGGUUAUAUCAAUGGUCCAAUUCUUGGUUCCAACCCUUGAUUGUCCUUCGAGAGCACCACCCAUUCCUUACAACACAUCUCUCCGCUUCAUUUUGGGAGUUUUGAAGUUAUUAAAGUUAUUGAUUUCUUUUCCUUACAACCAAAAUAAUCUAAAUUAAGAUUGUGGCCAAGUUUGGAUUAAAACCUGCCUCCCGGCUCCAAGACCCAUGUUUUUCUAUCAUGCUGACUGGCAGCAAAGACGUCUUCCCAUGGAUUUUUCAGAACUCUGUUCUUUAAAUGUGACCUUAGAUGCACCAGACUCAUGCCAUCCAAAGGUUGGAGGUACUGCCCAGUUUUAGCAAUGAAAGUCCCACGUCACGGGAAACCUCUGAGUCCUGGACAAAUCAAGAUGACAUUUUCUAUGCAUAUGCAAGCAUGUCACCAGGAGCAGAGCACAGAGGGACAACACAGCUUUUGCGCUUCCAGCUGGCUCCCAUCAAGAAGUUAGAAGGGAGCCUGCAAACACAUUUCCUGCUAUCAUCUCUCCACCCCAGAAUGACUUUCCCUGGUAGAGCUGGGGGAGGGGAGGCGGGCAGCAGGCCCCCCAGGAGGCCCUGGGCAGGAAUAUUAAUACUCCAACUUCCCAGCACAAGAGGAGGGAGGAGGAGCGGCCACGGCGCAGUCCGGUCCUGGGGGCCCUGGAAGGUGGUUGCUGAGCAGCCCGUGGGAGGCACGGAUCCGCCAGCUCACGGCGGCAGGGGCCGCCCAAGUCCUAAUGAAAACACCUAGCUCCUGGCAGGGCGCAGCCGACACAUCGCCCUGCCUUCUCGGCCACCUGGGAGAGGAUGGGCGCCGCACGCGGAUACCCAACCUGCCGGGUUGUGCUCGCAGUGACAUCGCUUUUCUCCCGGCAAGUGCAUCCAUCUCGCUGGGUCUGGAUAGAUAACACAAUCUCUCUGCCCACACCCCAUUUGCUGGGAGACAGCCUGGGCUUCUCCAUUUUUUAUGGGCUCACUUAGCUUGGAGGAAAUCCAGAGGUCAAAGCCGGCGCAGACGCUCCAGUCACCUUGCCCGUCCGGGCGCGCAGCCAUUCCGAAACGGGCUCACCCACGGGGCCCUAAAUUACGGCGAUUACACUGCAAUUCGCAGCGCGAUAUUACUUUGAUACACUACCUGCUGCAGCUUG